rnacentral:lncRNA from 1 species
UCUAAACCUCCAUAACUGUUGUGGGUAUUGACGGCCAGGCUUCUAAACCUCUUAAAACUCCCCAACUCUGGUGCCAACUUAGACAAUACUUCUUUAAGCACUCCUUUUAGUUAUCCCCACCUGCCCAGUUCCCUUAUUAGGCUGAGACACUUUAACUAAAUUAUCUGCUUCCCUGAGUAUUCCUGGACUACAGCUAUAUCUCAUUGCCACCUUUCUUCCCAAUCCAAAGCCUCCUUUGCGUCCUCCUCUUGUAUCUCCCCACCUUAACUCACAAGUAUAAGAUACCUCUACUCCCUCCUUGGCGACCAAUCACACACCCCUUACCAUCUCAUUAAAACCUAAUCACCCUUACCCCACUCAAUGCCAAUAUCCCAUCCUGCAGCAUGCUUUAAAAAGAUUAAAGCCUGUUAUCACUCACCUGCUACAGCAUGGCCUUUUAAAGCCUAUAAACUCUCCUUACAAUUCCCCCAUUUACCUGUCCUAAAACCAGACAAGCCUUACAAGUUAGUUCAGGAUCUGCACCUUAUCAACCAAAUCGUUUUGCCUAUCCACCCUGUGGUGCCCAACCCGUACACUCUUUUGUCCUCAAUACCUUUCUCCACAACUCACUAUUCCGUUCUCGAUCUUAAAGAUGCUUUCUUCACUAUUCCCCUGCACCCCUCGUCCCAGCCUCUCUUUGCUUUCACUUAGACUGACCCUGACACCCAUUAGGCUCAGCAAAUUACCUAGGCUGUACUGCCGCAAGGCUUCAUAGACAGCCCCCAUUACUUCAGUCAAGCCCAAAUUUCAUCCUCAUCUGUUACCUAUCUCGGCAUAAUUCUCAUAAAAACAUACUUGCUUUCCCUGCUGAUCAUGUCCGAUUAAUCUCCCAAACCUCAAUCCCUUACAAAACAACAACUUUCCUUCCUAGGCAUAGUUAGUGUGGUCAGAAUUCUUACACAAGAGCCAGGACUGCACCCUGUAGUCUUUCUGUGCAAACAACUUGACCUUACUGUUUUAGCCUAGCCCUCACGUCUGCGUGCAGUGGCUGCCACUGCUUUAAUACUUUUAGAGGCCCUCAAAAUCACAAACUCACUCUCUACAGUUCUCAUAACUUCCAAAAUCUAUUUUCUUCCUCAUACCUGACGCAUACACUUUCUGCUCCCCGGCUCCUUCAGCUGUACUCACUCUUUGCUGAGUCUCCCACAAUUACCAUUGUUCCUGGCCCGGACUUCAAUCCGGCCUCCCACAUUAUUCCUGAUACCACACCUGACCCCCAUGACUGUAUCUCUCUGAUCCACCUGACAUUCAUCUCAUUUCCCCAAAUCUCCUUCUUUCCUGUUCCUCACCCUGAUCACACUUGAUUUAUUGAUGGCGGUUUCCAAUUUUAA